CCCACCCCAGCCACUCCGCACUCCACUCACAGGCCACGACCACCACGCCGCUUCACCACCACCACACCACACCACGCGCUACCAUACACUGCCGCCCUAGCUCACUGGAUGGAAUUCCGCUCGCAACAAAGCACAACAAAGGAAGUUAGGAAGUGGCCACAGAAUAAUACAUACAUGACCUUCAGGCUGAGAUGGAGGGAAGGACAGAGGAAGAGCCUGGCUGAAGCAUGUGGCAAUGAAUUCAAACACCUGAGGAGAAUGUCAAGAAAGUAGCACUGCCUUACUUGGUGUGGUGGUGGAGUGAGUCUCAGAAAAUCUGUAGGAAGGGGCAGGAGCAUUGGGGGGUUCCAAUUUCUCUGUGCCCG